CCCACGCACCGCCCACGACACGCGUGGAUUCUUUUUCUUAUCCCUUCGCUGAUCAUCCCUUCCUUAUCCACUCACGUCUUCCUCCCCAUCCACUCGCAUCCCGGGGCGCGCUCGUCGCCAUAGCCGCCGGCAACUCGAUGCACCUGGUUUUGAAUCGUGCGCGGAUCACCGGUGCCGGAUUCACCCCUCUUCAUGGCCGCCCACAGCCAGGGGCGCGGUCGUUGCCUUGUCCACCGGCAACUGGACGCACGCCCUCUCCAUGGCAACCAUAGCCAGGGCUUCAUUAGUUCACCAUGACCAAGCUGCAAUCGGCCACGGCGGCGACGAGUUUGUGCUGGAGCCGGAGGGUUGUGCAACCAGGUUUUUUAUUUGCUGGAUCCACACAUUUUUUGCUACAACCCUUUUCUUUUUUGCUACCAUCCUCAUUUGAUUUGAUGAACUUUUUUCACUUUUGCUGGAAGCGGUGUCCCGAUUUGCUAGAACCAGCUUGUGGAUGUGCUGCAAGGUUGACACCUCGCCGGAGGAACCUGCAUCCAGUGCCGAGGAGGGCUGCAUCCAACGUCGUUCAAAUGUCGGGAGUUGCAACCAUGUACGCCGGAGCUACAACCGGUGACCAGGGGAGCUGCAAGAAGGGGGUGGCCGUUUUUGGUACGAUGCAUGUCAAUGGAGGCCAGCAGAGACGGCGACGCCUGCGGCAAGCUCGACGGCGAGGACGGAGGGGUGUGGUUCACCAGAUGCUGCAACCGCGGGGGCGGGGAGCUUCAACCGCUGCCGACGGAGGCUCCGUGUCAGCCAUGGCCAAGUUUGGCGGGGGAUCCGACCACAACGGAAGUUGCGAACGAGUGAGAUGGUUGGGAGGAGCAGUGACGCACGGCGAAGGAGGCAACUGACGGCGAGGACAACAACCGGUGGCGAGGGCGGUGACCGGCGUCGGGGGCGUCCAAGCCGGGUGGUGCUUCGAGUUCGGGGGCCUCGCUCAUGCAUGACGGCUAGAUGCGUACGUGUACGCAGAGGAAGGAAGAAGAAGCUGGGGCGAUUUGUUUUUUUUUUGCUUGGAUCCAACGGGCGCAUGGCUCAAAUCAAACGGCCUAGGCUAGACAGUGUGACGCCCGGAUAAUUAAGCUACAGUGAUCCCCCGCUAAUGAUGCCAUGUCACCUCGGUUA